UACGUAGGGCGCAAGCGUUGUCCGGAAUUAUUGGGCGUAAAGAGCUUGUAGGCGGUUUGUCGCGUCUGCUAUGAAAAUCCGGGGCUCAACCCCGGACUUGCAGUGGGUACGGGCAGACUAGAGUGUGGUAGGGGAGACUGGAAUUCCUGGUGUAGCAGUGAAAUGCGUAGAUAUCGAGAGGAACACCAGUGGCGAAGGCGAGUCCCCUGGACAAACACCUGACACUGAGGCACGAAAGCUAGGGGGAGCAAAACAGG
rnacentral:rRNA from 1 species